rnacentral:rRNA from 1 species
UCGAGGAUCUUUCGCAAUGGGCGCAAGCCUGACGAAGCGACGCUGCGUGAGCGAUGAAGGCCUUCGGGUCGUAAAGCUCUUUCGCGCAAGAACAAGGAAAAAGUGUUAAUAACAUUUUGACUUGAGGGUACUGCGUAAAGAAGCACCGGCUAACUCCGUGCCAGCAGCUGCGGUAAUACGGAGAGUGCAAGCAUUAAUCGGAAUUAUUGGGCGUAAAGGGCGCGUAGGCGGAUAUAUAAGUCAGAUGUGAAAUUCCAAAGCUCAACUUUGGAGCUGCAUUUGAAACUAUAAAUCUCGAGGAUUGACGGAGAAAACGGAAUUCCACGUGUAGCGGUGAAAUGCGUAG